GGACUGAAGCCUACUUAUACUUCUUUAUAAGAGGAUGCAGAUGAGUGAAAACUAUAGAAAUGGCAGAAUGGUAAGGACUCAGACUGCUAACUUUGCUGCUGGAUUUGAAAAUGGGGACUAACACCACAAGGUGAGGAAUGAAAGCAGCCUUGAGAUGUUAGAAAAGCCAAGGUUAUGGAUUCUCUUCUCGUUCUCCCAAGAGGAAUGCAGCCCUGUUGACACCUCGAUUUUAGCCCAGUGAAACCUGUUUCAGACUCCUGACUUCAGAAUGAUUUGCAUGGAAACAUUGGCUUUUACUGGUUCUCGAGCUUACCAGCCUCUGGACUGGACCUUGCAGAUUUUGGAAGGUACUGACCUCUCUGUAGAAAGACCUUGAUCAUCUCUCUUCCUCAGGGUAUUAUGUUGGUUCAUGACAUUGAUGACCUUCAUGCUGAUGGCCCUUAGUAAGAAGCAGCAACUUUUCUAGACUUAAUGAAACAGCACAUGGAUAAAGCUUUAUCAAGCAUAAGGGUGAGAACGUGGAGGGAGCAUCUCAGUCGAGGACACAUCAAGCCAGCAUUCUCCAGAGGCGUUGUUUUUCAUAUUUUAAGUAUGUGAAAUAUUCAGUUUACCAAAAGGCUCGUGCUCCAAUUUUGCAUUUUUUGAAACUCAUAGUACAGUGUAUUACAUAAAAAGCAUGUAAUUUUCCUUUAUGGACCACAGUGUAUUCAGGAAGGGGAUAAAACAUUACAAGCUGUUCUGAUCACUGAAAGGCAAUUCCAGCAAUUUUUGUCCCGAAAUUUGCUGAAAAGGAAACAUGGAAGCCUGUGGAACACUUAUGUCCCCAGUUGUAGCUAUGUUGGUUAUGCAGCAUGCACAGAGAAAGAAAACUAGAGACUCAAAAGUAAUUUUCCUCCCAGUUGUAUCUUUGAACAACAUAGGCACGGAGGAUAUUGAAGUUCAAGGAAAACUUCCUGCUCUCAAAUAUUCCAGAGAUAAGCCUUCUCAUUUGGAAAUGCAUUGGACAUUUACAGGUAUACAUAUUUCAAUUCAAUAAACAUGUGUUGGCUUCUUACAUAGUUCCAGGAAAUAUAUAGGUAUAUUUUGUACUUAAUUGCCAUAUAUUCAUAAUGUUUUAUAGAAAAUACUGAUGAGAAUAUUCCGAAAUGCCACGUUAGUUUACUUGUAAGUCAAAAAUCAUUAAUUGUUUACUUAAUGGUGUGAAUGUUUGUGUCCAAGUCAUCAUACAGAAUGAAGCGAACAUAAGCAUUUGCCUAAAUGGAUAAAAUCAGGUACUCAACAUACACA